AAUAUAACAUAAUAUAUUAAAAAUUCUAUGCACCGAAUAAUUGCUUUAAAAAUAAAUUACAUUCUUUUGAUUAAAUGAGAAAUGUGUUAAUGCGCUGCAAUAAUUCAAGCAUAACUUUCGAUCUGUUUGCAUUUUAAUUUAAUUUUAAAAAACAUUUUAAUUUUAAUAAAAUCAAUAUUUUAAAUAAAAUAAUACUUUUUCAAAAUACAAAAUUUUUAAUAAAUUGCAAUGGCAUAUAUGUAUAAUAGCCUCACAUCUAGCUGAUAAAAGUGGAACUUCAUGAAAAAUAUUCUCGAUAUUAUCUUCCGCAGAAUAUCUUUUUUAUAUCAUUAUUUUUUUCUCUUGCACAUAUCCGUCAUUUGAAUAUAUAUUUAUUUGUUACAGAUAUCUAAAUGUUAUUCCAAAUUCGUCCAUCCUUUUUAAAAGCUCCCGUCAUCCGACGUAUCGCAUUUUCAUCACCUUUCGGUAACUUCCAUUUGCCAACGUACAUGCGCUAUCUAAUUACUGCGGUGAUAAAAAAAACCGCUGCACUUUCCUGCCUUCACAGCUACGCUAAUUACAAUCUUCCCGUCUGCCUUGGCAUCAACCUCGAUCCUGCCGGCCGGUGCGCGGUGCACAUUAAGAGCGAUAGUACCUGCGCUCGUUAGUGUAGAAUUAUACAGCAGCUCUUAUAAUGUGUCGCGCGAAGCCACGAGGCGAUUACUGGGAGAAAUCGAGAAAAUAGAGGGAUACCGGGUCGGUGGCAUUCCGGGCGAAUACGACCGGCACUCGCGGUCUCACCCUCAGGAGAAAUCGAUCGUAUCGCUAUCAAUUGCAAAAAGCGAUUAUUCGUCGAGCAACCGAUGCAGAUGAGCAAGGACAGAGAAGGAUCAUUGCCUACCCCUUCACUUCGCAGUUCUUCAAUGAUUAUGCGCGCAAUUCUCGGGUAAACUCCAAAACGGCAGUUUAGAUAUUAAACUACAUAAUCUUUUCUUGUCUUUUUUUUUCUUCUUUUUUUCGUAAUGUGAUACAUAACGAGUGAAGAAAUGAUCGCGUUCUUCUAACUGAGAACUGUGGAAUUGCAGAUGCUCGUUGCGCACGGAGAGCAUGUUGUAAAGUCACGCGGAGCAGGGCUGAGCAGUUUUACAGGCAAUACGACGAAAUCGAUUGUUUCAAAUACCGCACGUGGCUUGAAGAGACAGAUAUAAAGCCGGAAAACCGGAAACCUAUUUUUCUCGCAACGCAUGUCGUCCACAUGCACCGCAAUUCAAAGAAGGGAGGCGGAUAGUUAUAAAAGGAUCAGGGGCAUCGCUACAAAAAAGAUUCAAUAAAAGUAUCCGUAUAUCCAUGGGCGUCCGAAGGGAGGAGGGCAAGACCAAGCAUUUGCCCCCCCCCUGGGAUCAGCAAACAAUUAAAAUUAAUCAUUUUUUCUUCCUUGAAAUAAAGAAAAAAGAUGCUAGAUUGCAGACGUAACGUACGCUUACAUCAUCUACCUUGUUGCGGUGAGGAAGCUUUUACUACCAAAAGGUGUAUAAAUUUUAAAUUAUAAAUAUUUUAAUUCUG